CAGCGCUCUGCUCCCACCGGCCACUGUCCCCAACGCACGGAAGCGCGCAGGCAUUUCCCCGACCCCUCUCCUCCCCCAACGCCUACACCUCUGGGCCACAAAACCUGCCUCUGCAACAGCGGGCAGGAUCCGCAAAUGGUUUUACUCGCUGACCCCCCGCAACCGUUCAGUAAACGACCAGUGAACAUUCCCCCUCCCCCCCGACUCUCGACCCGCGUCUUCAAAGCGCGAAGCCGCACACCCGCUGUGGUCUCCGCGCCCGGAACCCUCUCGCCAAGUGCCUCACAACGCCUCGCAGGCGCUUGGCCCUCCCGCUCCCAGGGAGAUGCGAAGCCCGCGAGCUCCAGCGCCUUCCCCAAGGAGUACCAGGGCUCUGCCUCCCGACCCCGGGCAAGCGACAGCCGGACCCCGCUGCUUCCCAGCUCCCCAGCAGGCGCGACCAGCUGACCGGAUUCCUGGCCGGCCGCUCCAGCCCCGCCUCCUCCCUCGGCCUGGGCCCUCCUUUCCUGCUCGUGCUCGUCCUUGCGUGCCCUGGCGGGCUGCGUCCCGGCCUGCCGCUGCCCGAGCCUGCGGGCGCCCGGGGCUGCGCGCACACGCGGAGCGGCGUCUCCCUCGGGGCGCCUGGCACGAGCCGCGGGAGGAGGAGGCGGCAGGAAUAUUUUUGAAAUUCUAAUCCUCAUAUAUAGAGUCAAGAUUAUAUUAUCCAUCAUUUAAGCUAAUCCAAAAGUAAAUGAGGAACUUAGAAACUAAGAUUGCCAACUCCAAAUCAACACAGUUACACAAAAUUGAAAAAGAAGCAGCUCACAGCUUCAUUUGAAGACUUUUGUA
ensembl:lncRNA